rnacentral:rRNA from 1 species
UACGUAGGUCCCGAGCGUUGUCCGGAUUUAUUGGGCGUAAAGCGAGCGCAGGUGGUUUAUUAAGUCUGGUGUAAAAGGCAGUGGCUCAACCAUUGUAUGCAUUGGAAACUGGUAGACUUGAGUGCAGGAAAGGAGAGUGGAAUUCCAUGUGUAGCGGUGAAAUGCGUAGAUAUAUGGAGGAACACCGGUGGCGAAAACGGCUCUCUGGCCUGUAACUGACACUGAGGCUCGAAAGCGUGGGGAGCAAACAGG